rnacentral:rRNA from 1 species
CCCGUCCUACGGGGGGCAGCAGUGAGGAAUGUUGGUCAAUGGUCGGGAGACUGAACCAGCCAAGCCGCGUGAGGGAGGAAGGUACAGAGUAUCGUAAACCUCUUUUGUCAGGGAACAAAGACUGGGACGCGUCCCCGGAUGAGUGUACCUGAAGAAAAAGCAUCGGCUAACUCCGUGCCAGCAGCCGCGGUAAUACGGAGGAUGCGAGCGUUAUCCGGAUUUAUUGGGUUUAAAGGGUGCUCAGGCGGUCUGUUAAGUCAGCGGUCAAAGCCCGGGGCUCAACCCCGGCCCGCCGUUGAAACUGG